rnacentral:rRNA from 1 species
CCCUUAGAUGUUCUGGGCUGCACGCGUGCUACACUGAUAUUGCCAAUAUGUCAUUCUUAUCCGAAAUGGAUUGGGUAAUCAAGUAAUGAAAUUUCAUGCUUGGAAUCGGUAAUUGCAAUUUUAUCGUGAACGAGGAAUUCCUAGUAAGCACUAGUCAUCAGCUAAUGUUGAUUAUGUCCCUGCCCUUUGUACACACCGCCCGUCGCUACUACUGAUUGGGUGUUCAAGUGAGAUGCUUAGACCCUUGUUGCAUGGUUCAUUAUUGUGCUCCGAAAGGAAAAAGUUUCAAGCUUGAGCGUCUAGAGGAAGUAAAAGUCGUAACA